rnacentral:rRNA from 1 species
UACGGAGGGUGCAAGCGUUAAUCGGAAUUACUGGGCGUAAAGCGCACGCAGGCGGUUGGAUAAGUUAGAUGUGAAAGCCCCGGGCUCAACCUGGGGAUUGCAUUUAAAACUGUCCAGCUAGAGUCUUGUAGAGGGGGGUAGAAUUCCAGGUGUAGCGGUGAAAUGCGUAGAGAUCUGGAGGAAUACCGGUGGCGAAGGCGGCCCCCUGGACAAAGACUGACGCUCAGGUGCGAAAGCGUGGGGAGCAAACAGG